rnacentral:rRNA from 1 species
UACGUAGGGUGCGAGCGUUGUCCGGAAUUAUUGGGCGUAAAGAGCGUGUAGGCGGCCAGACAGGUCCGUUGUGAAAACUCGAGGCUCAACCUCGAGACGCCGAUGGAAACCGUCUGGCUAGAGUCCGGAAGAGGAGAGUGGAAUUCCUGGUGUAGCGGUGGAAUGCGCAGAUAUCAGGAGGAACACCAAUAGCGAAGGCAGCUCGCUGGGACGUUACUGACACUGAGGCGCGAAAGCGUGGGGAGCAAACAGG